AUACGGAGGAUCCGAGCGUUAUCCGGAUUUAUUGGGUUUAAAGGGUGCGCAGGCGGGAGAUUAAGUCGGCGGUGAAAUUUUUCAGCUCAACUGUAAAAGUGCCUUUGAAACUGGUUUCCUUGAGUGUAGAUGAAGUAGGCGGAAUUUGUGGUGUAGCGGUGAAAUGCAUAGAUAUUACUCAGAACACCGAUUGCGAAGGCAUCUCACGAAUCCGUCAUUGACGCUGAGGCACGAAAGCGUGGGGAUCAAACAGGAUUAGAUACCCUGGUAGUCCACGCAGUAAACGAUGAUGACUAACCGUCGGCGAUACACAGUCGGUGGCCAAGCGAAAGCGAUAAGUCAUCCACCUGGGGAGUACGUUCGCAAGAAUGAAACUCAAAGGAAUUGACGGGG
rnacentral:rRNA from 1 species